rnacentral:rRNA from 1 species
GUCGUGGGCGUAGGAAAUUUGAGAGGAGCUGUCCUUAGUACGAGAGGACCGGGAUGGACAUACCUCUGGUGUACCAGUUGUCGUGCCAACGGCAUAGCUGGGUAGCUAUGUAUGGACGGGAUAAGUGCUGAAAGCAUCUAAGCAUGAAGCCCCCCUCAAGAUGAGAUUUCCCAACUUCGGUUAUAAGAUCCCUCAGAGAUGAUGAGGUUAAUAGGUUCGAGGUGGAAGCGUGGUGACACGUGGAGCUGACGAAUACUAAUCGAUCGAAGACUUAAUCAAUUU